UACAGAGGGUGCAAGCGUUAAUCGGAAUUACUGGGCGUAAAGCGCGCGUAGGUGGUUUGUUAAGUUGGAUGUGAAAGCCCCGGGCUCAACCUGGGAACUGCAUCCAAAACUGGCAAGCUAGAGUACGGUAGAGGGUGGUGGAAUUUCCUGUGUAGCGGUGAAAUGCGUAGAUAUAGGAAGGAACACCAGCGGCGAAGGCGACCACCUGGACUGAUACUGACACUGAGGUGCGAAAGCGUGGGGAGCAAACAGG
rnacentral:rRNA from 1 species